rnacentral:lncRNA from 1 species
UGGGUUGGAGUAUGGUUGUGACUAGUCCAAUGCUGAAAUCAAAUCAAAAUGAUGAACCAUGUUUAAUUGAAGUGUAUUUGGGCUAGCCAUCAUGUGUGAAACAUAGUAUUGUGAUGUCAGCCAUGGGCUGAGAUAUGGUUGCCAUUCACGGACAGAAAUGUGGUGGCCUGCCACGGACAGAAACGUGGUGUGAGCUGGUCUAGUCUAAUACCAAAAUAUAAUAAUAUUGUUUGGAUCAGAACUGUGUUAACCAUAUUAGGAUA